rnacentral:rRNA from 1 species
UCGGCUUAGAGUUUGAUCAUGGCUCAGAUUGAACGCUGGCGGCAGGCCUAACACAUGCAAGUCGGACGGUAGGAGAGCUUGCUCUCCACGAGUGGCGGACGGGUGAGUAAUGUCUGGGAAACUGCCCGAUGGAGGGGGAUAACUACUGGAAACGGUAGCUAAUACCGCAUAGCGUCUUCGGACCAAAGUGGUUCGUCACGCCAUCGGAUGUGCCCAGAUGGGAUUAGCUAGUAGGUGGGGUAACGGCUCACCUAGGCGACGAUCCCUAGCUGGUCUGAGAGGAUGACCAGCCACACUGGAACUGAGACACGGUCCAGACUCCUACGGGAGGCAGCAGUGGGGAAUAUUGCACAAUGGGCGCAAGCCUGAUGCAGCCAUGCCGCGUGUAUGAAGAAGGCCUUCGGGUUGUAAAGUACUUUCAGCGGGGAGGAAGGCGGUGAGUAAUCUCGCCGAUUGACGUUACCCGCAGAAGAAGCACCGGCUAACUCCGUGCCAGCAGCCGCGGUAAUACGGAGGGUGCAAGCGUUAAUCGGAAUUACUGGGCGUAAAGCGCACGCAGGCGGUCUGUUAAGUCAGAUGUGAAAUCCCCGGGCUUAACCUGGGAACUGCAUUUGAAACUGGCAGCUUGAGUCUCGUAGAGGGGGUAGAAUUCCAGUGUAGCGGUGAAAUGCGUAGAGAUCGAG